UGUACCACUGAUGAUAAUCUGGCUCCCUCUACUGAUGUCUCUGAGGAAAACGCCAUCUAAACCAAACCCAUUUCUUAUCUGAGGUACA